GAAAUAUUGCAAGAGCAGGAGUCUCGUGUCUUGGCUCCCCCUCCCCAGGCUGGAAUGGUAGGCGCCGCCACGCCACGUGACCAACUUUGGCCGUCACGUGACGAGGAAGUAGCCGCAGCCAGGCUUCGGGAGAGAGACUGACGGUGGCAGAGCUCGGGAAUUCGGGCUGUUGUGACCCGAGGGUUGGAGUCAUCUAGUUUUCCCCUCAGACACUUAAGUUUCGGGUGAUAUCUGUGCAGGGGAAGUGGUUGCGUGCAAUUCUGGCAUUCAUCUGAUUUGUUGAUACUGGACGUAGAAACAGCUCAAGUGACACUUUGGAGUUGAGCUAUCAAAGCAGCUCAUAUGAGUCUGAAACUUUUCAGAAAGCUCAUCACAGAUGCUUAAUGUGCUAGAAAGCUCGAGUCCACACAAGGCGAGAAGAUGCCUGAGGACACACAGCCUCUAAUGACAACUGCAAGCACUCAUUGUGCCACAAGAGUGUGUUACGUCACCUGACCAACCCCACCGUGGAGGCCAUCUGCUGUACGUAUGUUUUUUGCUGCUGCAUUGUCCUUUGGGUCUGAGAGAAAUGAGACAGAGGGCAGAGCUUGUACCUUGAAGACAGGAUGCAGUCCCGGGAGGCACCUCAUGGUGGCGACAGCGAUGACCUCAGCCAC